GACGAACGCUGGCGGCGUGCUUAACACAUGCAAGUCGAGCGGUAAGGCCCUUUCGGGGGUACACGAGCGGCGAACGGGUGAGUAACACGUGGGUGACCUGCCCUCAGCUCUGGGAUAAGCCUGGGAAACCGGGUCUAAUACUGGAUAUGACUCCAUGGCGCAUGUUGUGGGGUGGAAAGCCUUGUGCGGCUGAGGAUGGGCCCGCGGCCUAUCAGCUUGUUGGUGGGGGUGAGGCCUACCAAGGCGACGACGGGUAGCCGGCCUGAGAGGGCGACCGGCCACACUGGGACUGAGACACGGCCCAGACUCCUACGGGAGGCAGCAGUGGGGAAUCUUGCGCAAUGGGCGAAAGCCUGACGCAGCGACGCCGCGUGAGGGAUGACGGCCU
rnacentral:rRNA from 1 species